rnacentral:rRNA from 1 species
UCCGUAGGGUGAACCUGCGGAAGGAUCAUUACCUAGAGUUGUAGGCUUUGCCUGCUAUCUCUUACCCAUGUCUUUUAAGUACCUUACGUUUCCUCGGCGGGUCCGCCCGCCGAUUGGACAAUUUAAACCAUUUGCAGUUGCAAUCAGCGUCUGAAAAAACUUAAUAGUUACAACUUUCAACAACGGAUCUCUUGGUUCUGGCAUCGAUGAAGAACGCAGCGAAAUGCGAUAAGUAGUGUGAAUUGCAGAAUUCAGUGAAUCAUCGAAUCUUUGAACGCACAUUGCGCCCCUUGGUAUUCCAUGGGGCAUGCCUGUUCGAGCGUCAUUUGUACCUUCAAGCUCUGCUUGGUGUUGGGUGUUUGUCUCGCCUCUGCGUGUAGACUCGCCUCAAAACAAUUGGCAGCCGGCGUAUUGAUUUCGGAGCGCAGUACAUCUCGCGCUUUGCACUCAUAACGACGACGUCCAAAAGUACAUUUUUACACUCUUGACCUCGGAUCAGGUAGGGAUACCCGCUGAACUUAAGCAUAUCAAUAAUCGGAGGA